GACGAACGCUGGCGGCGUGCCUAACACAUGCAAGUCGAGCGGGGUUGAAGCGAGAGGUAACUCGAACUUCUACCUAGCGGCGGACGGGUGAGUAACGCGUGGGCAACCUGCCUCAAGGUCUGGGAUAACAGCCCGAAAGGGCUGCUAAUACUGGGUAUGCUUGUGGCCUCGCAUGGGGCUAUGAGCAAAGGGGAAACCCGCCUUGAGAUGGGCCCGCGUCCCAUCAGCUAGUUGGUGAGGUAACAGCUCACCAAGGCGACGACGGGUAGCCGGCCUGAGAGGGUGACCGGCCACACUGGGACUGAGACACGGCCCAGACUCCUACGGGGGCAGCAGUGGGGGAUCUUGCACAAUGGGCGAAAGCCUGAUGCAGCGACGCCGCGUGAGCGAAGAAGGCCUUCGGUGUAAAGCUCUGUCUGGAGGGACGAAGGAAGUGACGGUACCUCCGGAGGAAGCCACGGCUAACUACGUGCCAGCAGCCGCGGUAAUCA
rnacentral:rRNA from 1 species